rnacentral:rRNA from 1 species
GGUUAAGCGACUAAGCGUACACGGUGGAUGCCCUGGCAGUCAGAGGCGAUGAAGGACGUGCUAAUCUGCGAAAAGCGCCGGCGAGGUGAUAUGAACCCUUGACCCGGCGAUGUCCGAAUGGGGAAACCCAGUGUGAUUCGUCACACUAUCGUUAACUGAAUACAUAGGUUAACGAGGCGAACCGGGGGAACUGAAACAUCUAAGUACCCCGAGGAAAAGAAAUCAACCGAGAUUCCCCCAGUAGCGGCGAGCGAACGGGGAGCAGCCCAGAGUCUGAAUCAGCUUGUGUGUUAGUGGAAGCGUCUGGAAAGUCGCACGGUACAGGGUGAUAGUCCCGUACACGAAAAUGCACAGGCUGUGAACUCGAAGAGUAGGGCGGGACACGUGGUAUCCUGUCUGAAUAUGGGGGGACCAUCCUCCAAGGCUAAAUACUCCUGACUGACCGAUAGUGAACCAGUACCGUGAGGGAAAGGCGAAAAGAACCCCGGCGAGGGGAGUGAAAAAGAACCUGAAACCGUGUACGUACAAGCAGUGGGAGCACCUUCGGGUGUGACUGCGUACCUUUUGUAUAAUGGGUCAGCGACUUAUAUUCUGUAGCAAGGUUAACCGUAUAGGGGAGCCGAAGGGAAACCGAGUCUUAACUGGGCGUUAAGUUGCAGGGUAUAGACCCGAAACCCGGUGAUCUAGCCAUGGGCAGGUUGAAGGUUGGGUAACACUAACUGGAGGACCGAACCGACUAAUGUUGAAAAAUUAGCGGAUGACCUGUGGCUGGGGGUGAAAGGCCAAUCAAACCGGGAGAUAGCUGGUUCUCCCCGAAAGCUAUUUAGGUAGCGCCUCGUGAACUCAUCUUCGGGGGUAGAGCACUGUUUCGGCUAGGGGGCCAUCCCGGCUUACCAACCCGAUGCAAACUACGAAUACCGAAGAAUGUUAUCACGGGAGACACACGGCGGGUGCUAACGUCCGUCGUGAAGAGGGAAACAACCCAGACCGCCAGCUAAGGUCCCAAAGUCAUGGUUAAGUGGGAAACGAUGUGGGAAGGCCCAGACAGCCAGGAUGUUGGCUUAGAAGCAGCCAUCAUUUAAAGAAAGCGUAAUAGCUCACUGGUCGAGUCGGCCUGCGCGGAAGAUGUAACGGGGCUAAACCAUGCACCGAAGCUGCGGCAGCGACGCUUAUGCGUUGUUGGGUAGGGGAGCGUUCUGUAAGCCGUUGAAGGUGGCCUGUGAGGGCUGCUGGAGGUAUCAGAAGUGCGAAUGCUGACAUAAGUAACGAUAAAGCGGGUGAAAAGCCCGCUCGCCGGAAGACCAAGGGUUCCUGUCCAACGUUAAUCGGGGCAGGGUGAGUCGACCCCUAAGGCGAGGCCGAAAGGCGUAGUCGAUGGGAAACAGGUUAAUAUUCCUGUACUUGGUGUUACUGCGAAGGGGGGACGGAGAAGGCUAUGUUAGCCGGGCGACGGUUGUCCCGGUUUAAGCAUGUAGGCGGAGGUUCCAGGUAAAUCCGGUACCUUUUAACGCUGAGGUGUGAUGACGAGGCACUACGGUGCUGAAGUAACAAAUGCCCUGCUUCCAGGAAAAGCCUCUAAGCAUCAGGUAACACGAAAUCGUACCCCAAACCGACACAGGUGGUCAGGUAGAGAAUACCAAGGCGCUUGAGAGAACUCGGGUGAAGGAACUAGGCAAAAUGGUGCCGUAACUUCGGGAGAAGGCACGCUGAUAUGUAGGUGAAGCCCCUGCGGGUGGAGCUGAAAUCAGUCGAAGAUACCAGCUGGCUGCAACUGUUUAUUAAAAACACAGCACUGUGCAAACACGAAAGUGGACGUAUACGGUGUGACGCCUGCCCGGUGCCGGAAGGUUAAUUGAUGGGGUUAGCGGUAACGCGAAGCUCUUGAUCGAAGCCCCGGUAAACGGCGGCCGUAACUAUAACGGUCCUAAGGUAGCGAAAUUCCUUGUCGGGUAAGUUCCGACCUGCACGAAUGGCGUAAUGAUGGCCAGGCUGUCUCCACCCGAGACUCAGUGAAAUUGAACUCGCUGUGAAGAUGCAGUGUACCCGCGGCAAGACGGAAAGACCCCGUGAACCUUUACUAUAGCUUGACACUGAACACUGGUCCUUGAUGUGUAGGAUAGGUGGGAGGCUUUGAAGCGUGGACGCCAGUCUGCGUGGAGCCGUCCUUGAAAUACCACCCUUUAAUGGCUGGUGUUCUAACGUAGACCCGUAAUCCGGGUUGCGGACAGUGUCUGGUGGGUAGUUUGACUGGGGCGGUCUCCUCCCAAAGAGUAACGGAGGAGCACGAAGGUUAGCUAAUCCUGGUCGGACAUCAGGAGGUUAGUGCAAUGGCAUAAGCUAGCUUGACUGCGAGAGUGACGGCUCGAGCAGGUGCGAAAGCAGGUCAUAGUGAUCCGGUGGUUCUGAAUGGAAGGGCCAUCGCUCAACGGAUAAAAGGUACUCCGGGGAUAACAGGCUGAUACCGCCCAAGAGUUCAUAUCGACGGCGGUGUUUGGCACCUCGAUGUCGGCUCAUCACAUCCUGGGGCUGAAGUAGGUCCCAAGGGUAUGGCUGUUCGCCAUUUAAAGUGGUACGCGAGCUGGGUUUAGAACGUCGUGAGACAGUUCGGUCCCUAUCUGCCGUGGGCGCUGGAGAAUUGAGGGGGGCUGCUCCUAGUACGAGAGGACCGGAGUGGACGCAUCACUGGUGUUCGGGUUGUCAUGCCAAUGGCACUGCCCGGUAGCUAAAUGCGGAAGAGAUAAGUGCUGAAAGCAUCUAAGCACGAAACUUUCCCCGAGAUGAGUUCUCCCUGAGACUUAAAGUCUCCUGAAGGAACGUUGAAGACGACGACGUUGAUAGGUCGGGUGUGUAAGCGCAGCGAUGCGUUGAGCUAACCGAUACUAAUGAACCGUGAGGCUUAACCUU